rnacentral:rRNA from 1 species
AGAGUUUGAUCCUGGCUCAGGACGAACGCUGGCGGCGUGCCUAACACAUGCAAGUCGAACGGAGAAUUUUAUUUCGGUAGAAUUCUUAGUGGCGAACGGGUGAGUAACGCGUAGGCAACCUGCCCUUUAGACGGGGACAACAUUCCGAAAGGAGUGCUAAUACCGGAUGUGAUCAUCGUGCCGCAUGGCAGGAUGAAGAAAGAUGGCCUCUACAAGUAAGCUAUCGCUAAAGGAUGGGCCUGCGUCUGAUUAGCUAGUUGGUAGUGUAACGGACUACCAAGGCGAUGAUCAGUAGCCGGUCUGAGAGGAUGAACGGCCACAUUGGGACUGAGACACGGCCCAAACUCCUACGGGAGGCAGCAGUGGGGAAUCUUCCGCAAUGGACGAAAGUCUGACGGAGCAACGCCGCGUGAGUGAUGACGGCCUUCGGGUUGUAAAGCUCUGUUAAUCGGGACGAAAGGCCUUCUUGCGAAUAGUUAGAAGGAUUGACGGUACCGGAAUAGAAAGCCACGGCUAACUACGUGCCAGCAGCCGCGGUAAUACGUAGGUGGCAAGCGUUGUCCGGAAUUAUUGGGCGUAAAGCGCGCGCAGGCGGAUCUGCCAGUCUGUCUUAAAAGUUCGGGGCUCAACCCCGUGAUGGGAUGGAAACUACAGAUCUAGAGUAUCGGAGGGGAAAGUGGAAUUCCUAGUGUAGCGGUGAAAUGCGUAGAUAUUAGGAGGAACACCAGUGGCGAAGGCGACUUUCUGGACGAUCACUGACGCUGAGGCGCGAAAGCCAGGGGAGCGAACGGGAUUAGAUACCCCGGUAGUCCUGGCCGUAAACGAUGGGUACUAGGU